CGUGAGGAUUCAGUCACCAAAUACCAUCUUUCAGGACUGAAUAAUGACAUUAAUGAGUCUUGUUGACGUUCUGCAAUUCUGAG
rnacentral:sRNA from 1 species